GAUGAACGCUGGCGGCGUGCCUAAUACAUGCAAGUCGAGCGAACAGACGAGGAGCUUGCUCCUCUGACGUUAGCGGCGGACGGGUGAGUAACACGUGGAUAACCUACCUAUAAGACUGGGAUAACUUCGGGAAACCGGAGCUAAUACAGGAUAAUAUAUUGAACCGCAUGGUUCAAUAGUGAAAGACGGUUUUGCUGUCACUUAUAGAUGGAUCCGCGCCGCAUUAGCUAGUUGGUAAGGUAACGGCUUACCAAGGCAACGAUGCGCAGCCGACCUGCGAGGGUGAUCGGCCACACUGGAACUGAGACACGGUCCAGACUCCUACGGGAGGCAGCAGUAGGGAAUCUUCCGCAAUGGGCGAAAGCCUGACGGAGCAACGCCGCGUGAGUGAUGAAGGUCUUCGGAUCGUAAAACUCUGUUAUUAGGGAAGAACAAAUGUGUAAGUAACUAUGCACGUCUUGACGGUACCUAAUCAGAAAGCCACGGCUAACUACGUG
rnacentral:rRNA from 1 species